UGGGGAAUAUUGCGCAAUGGGGGAAACCCUGACGCAGCGACGCCGUGUGCGGGAAGAAGGCCUUCGGGUCGUAAACCGCUGUCAGGAGGGAAGAAACCAUUAGAGUCGAAUAGGCUCUUUUGCUGACGGUACCUCCAGAGGAAGCACCGGCUAACUCCGUGCCAGCAGCCGCGGUAAUACGGAGGGUGCAAGCGUUAAUCGGAAUCACUGGGCGUAAAGCGUGCGUAGGCGGCGCAGUAAGUCAGGGGUGAAAGCCCUCGGCUCAACCGAGGAAUUGCCUCUGAUACUGCUGUGCUUGAGGCUUGGAGAGGCAGGCGGAAUUCCAGGUGUAGGAGUGAAAUCCGUAGAUAUCUGGAGGAACACCGGUGGCGAAGGCGGCCUGCUGGACAAGUUCUGACGCUGAGGUACGAAAGCGUGGGUAGCAAACA
rnacentral:rRNA from 1 species